GAGUGCGAUCAUACACGCAUUAAUGCAGUGGAUCCCAUCAGAACUUCGCAGUUAAGCUUGAUCUGGAUAGAGUAGUACUAGGAUGUGUGACUUCCUACGAAAUUCUCGUGUUGCACACC
rnacentral:rRNA from 1 species